GCGAGUGAAGCGGGAAAAGCUCAAAUUUAAAAUCUGGUAGCCUUUGGUUGCCCGAGUUGUAGUCUGGAGAAGUGUCUUCCGCGCCGAACCGUGUACAAGUCUCUUGGAACAGAGCGUCAUAGAGGGUGAGAAUCCCGUCUUUGACACGGACUACCGGUGCUUUGUGAUGCGCUCUCAAAGAGUCGAGUUGUUUGGGAAUGCAGCUCAAAAUGGGUGGUGAAUUCCAUCUAAAGCUAAAUAUUGGCGAGAGACCGAUAGCGAACAAGUACCGUGAGGGAAAGAUGAAAAGCACUUUGGAAAGAGAGUUAAACAGUACGUGAAAUUGCUAAAAGGGAACCGCUUGAAGUCAGUCGCGUCGUCUAGAACUCAACCUUGCUUGCUUGGUGCAUUUUCUAGUUGACGGGCCAACAUCAAUUUUGACUGUCGGAAAAAAGCCUUCGGAAUGUGGCACCCUCGGGUGUGUUAUAGCCUUUGGUUGUAUACGAUGGUUGGGAUUGAGGACCGCAGCACGCCUUUAUGGCCGGGGUUCGCCCACGUACGUGCUUAGGAUGUUGGCGUAAUGGCUUUAAACGAC
rnacentral:rRNA from 1 species